rnacentral:rRNA from 1 species
UACGGAGGAUGCGAGCGUUAUCCGGAUUUAUUGGGUUUAGAGGGUGCGCAGGCGGCACGGCAAGCCGGCGGUCAAAUCGCGGGGCUCAACCCCGCCCAGCCGUCGGAACUGCCGGGCUAGAGUGGGCGAGAAGUGCGCGGAAUGCGUGGUGUAGCGGUGAAAUGCAUAGAUAUCACGCAGAACUCCGAUUGCGAAGGCAGCGCACCGGCGCCCUACUGACGCUCAGGCACGAAAGCGUGGGUAUCGAACAGG